rnacentral:rRNA from 1 species
UACGUAGGGUGCAAGCGUUGUCCGGAAUUAUUGGGCGUAGAGAGCUCGUAGGCGGUCUGUCGCGUCGAAUGUGAAAACCCGGGGCUCAACCCCGGGCCUGCAUUCGAUACGGGCAGACUAGAGUUCGGUAGGGGAGUCUGGAAUUCCUGGUGUAGCGGUGAAAUGCGCAGAUAUCAGGAGGAACACCGGUGGCGAAGGCGGGACUCUGGGCCGAUACUGACGCUGAGGAGCGAAAGCGUGGGGAGCGAACAGG